rnacentral:rRNA from 1 species
CAAUAGCGUAUAUUAAAGUUGUUGCGGUUAAAAAGCUCGUAGUUGGAUUUCUGCCGAGGACGACCGGUCCGCCCUCCGGGUGAGUAUCUGGCUCGGCCUGGGCAUCUUCUUGGAAAACGUAACUGCACUUGGCUGUGUGGUGCGGUAUUCAAGACUUUUACUUUGAGGAAAUUGAACUGUUUCAAACAGGCACACGCCUUGAAUACAUUAGCAUGGAAGAAUAAGAUAGGACCUCGGUUCUAUUUUGUUGGUUUCUAGAUCUGAGGUAAUGAUUGAUAGGGAUAAUUGGGGGGCAUUAGUAUUUAACCGUCAAAAGUGAAAUUCUCGGAUUUGUUAAAGACGGACUACUGCGAAAGCAUUUGCCAAGGAUGUUUNCAUUGA